CAGUCGCCGCGGUAAUACAGAGGGUGCAAGCGUUAAUCGGAAUUACUGGGCGUAAAGCGCGCGUAGGUGGUUUGUUAAGUUGGAUGUGAAAUCCCCGGGCUCAACCUGGGAACUGCAUCCAAAACUGGCAAGCUAGAGUAUGGUAGAGGGUGGUGGAAUUUCCUGUGUAGCGGUGAAAUGCGUAGAUAUAGGAAGGAACAUCAGUGGCGAAGGCGACCACCUGGACUGAUACUGACACUGAGGUGCGAAAGCGUGGGGAGCAAACAGGAUUAGAUACCCGUGUAGUCCCUGUCUCUUAUAC
rnacentral:rRNA from 1 species